rnacentral:rRNA from 1 species
UACGGAGGGUGCAAGCGUUAUCCGGAUUCACUGGGUUUAAAGGGUGCGUAGGUGGGCAGGUAAGUCAGUGGUGAAAUCCCCGAGCUUAACUUGGGAACCUGCCAUUGAUACUAUUUGUCUUGAAUACUGUGGAGGUUAGCGGAAUAUGUCAUGUAGCGGUGAAAUGCUUAGAUAUGACAUAGAACAUCAAUUGCGAAGGCAGCUGGCUACACAAAUAUUGACACUGAUGCACAAAGCGUGGGGAUCAAACAGG